GCGGGAAUGGCGGAAUUGGCAGACGCGCACGGUUCAGGUCCGUGUGUUGGUGACAACAUGCAGGUUCAAGUCCUGUUUCCCGCACCA
rnacentral:tRNA from 2 species